UUUAUAUGAGAGUUUGAUCCUGGCUCAGGAUGAACGCCGGCGGUGUGCCUAAUACAUGCAAGUCGUACGCACUGGCCCAACUGAUUGAUGGUGCUUGCACCKGAUUGACGUUGGAUCACCAGUGAGUGGCGGACGGGUGAGUAACACGUAGGUAACCUGCCCCGGAGCGGGGGAUAACAUUUGGAAACAGAUGCUAAUACCGCAUAACAACAAAAGCCACAUGGCUUUUGUUUGAAAGAUGGCUUUGGCUAUCACUCUGGGAUGGACCUGCGGUGCAUUAGCUAGUUGGUAAGGUAACGGCUUACCAAGGCGAUGAUGCAUAGCCGAGUUGAGAGACUGAUCGGCCACAAUGGAACUGAGACACGGUCCAUACUCCUACGGGAGGCAGCAGUAGGGAAUCUUCCACAAUGGGCGCAAGCCUGAUGGAGCAACACCGCGUGAGUGAAGAAGGGUUUCGGCUCGUAAAGCUCUGUUGUUGGAGAAGAACGUGCGUGAGAGUAACUGUUCACGCAGUGACGGUAUCCAACCAGAAAGUCACGGCUAACUACGUGCCAGCAGCCGCGGUAAUACGUAGGUGGCAAGCGUUAUCCGGAUUUAUUGGGCGUAAAGCGAGCGCAGGCGGUUGCUUAGGUCUGAUGUGAAAGCCUUCGGCUUAACCGAAGAAGUGCAUCGGAAACCGGGCGACUUGAGUGCAGAAGAGGACAGUGGAACUCCAUGUGUAGCGGUGGAAUGCGUAGAUAUAUGGAAGAACACCAGUGGCGAAGGCGGCUGUCUGGUCUGCAACUGACGCUGAGGCUCGAAAGCAUGGGUAGCGAACAGGAUUAGAUACCCUGGUAGUCCAUGCCGUAAACGAUGAGUGCUAGGUGUUGGAGGGUUUCCGCCCUUCAGUGCCGGAGCUAACGCAUUAAGCACUCCGCCUGGGGAGUACGACCGCAAGGUUGAAACUCAAAGGAAUUGACGGGGGCCCGCACAAGCGGUGG
rnacentral:rRNA from 2 species